AGAGUUUGAUCCUGGCUCAGAUCGAACGCUGGCGGCAGGCCUAACACAUGCAAGUCGAACGGUAACAGGAAGCAGCUUGCUGCUUCGCUGACGAGUGGCGGACGGGUGAGUAAUGUCUGGGAAGCUGCAUGAUGGAGGGGGAUAACUACUGGAAACGGUAGCUAAUACCGCAUAAUGUCGCAAGACCAAAGAGGGGGACCUUCGGGCCUCUUGCCAUCGGAUGUGCCCAGAUGGGAUUAGCUUGUUGGUGGGGUAACGGCUCACCAAGGCGACGAUCCCUAGCUGGUCUGAGAGGAUGACCAGCCACACUGGAACUGAGACACGGUCCAGACUCCUACGGGAGGCAGCAGUGGGGAAUAUUGCACAAUGGGCGCAAGCCUGAUGCAGCCAUGCCGCGUGUAUGAGGAAGGCCUUCGGGUUGUAAAGUACUUUCAGCGGGGAGGAAGGGAGUAAAGUUAAUACCUUUGCUCAUUGACGUUACCCGCAGAAGAAGCACCGGCUAACUCCGUGCCAGCAGCCGCGGUAAUACGGAGGGUGCAAGCGUUAAUCGGAAUUACUGGGCGUAAAGCGCACGCAGGCGGUUUGUUAAGUCAGAUGUGAAAUCCCCGGGCUCAACCUGGGAACUGCAUCUGAUACUGGCAAGCUUGAGUCUCGUAGAGGGGGGUAGAAUUCCAGGUGUAGCGGUGAAAUGCGUAGAGAU
rnacentral:rRNA from 1 species